GACGAACGCUGGCGGCGUGCUUAAUACAUGCAAGUCAACUUGACUUUAGAUAGCAAUAUCGAAAAGUAGGGUGGCGCACGGGUGCGUAACGCGUAGGUAAUCUGCCCUGAGGUCUGACAUAACCCGUCGAAAGGCGGGCUAACAUCAGAUGAUAUAUAAUCACGACAUCGUGGAAAUAUCAAAUCUUCGGAGCCUUGGGAUGAGCCUGCGUCUGAUUAGGUAGUUGGCGGAGUAAUAGCCCACCAAGCCUACGAUCAGUAGCUGGUCUGAGAGGAUGAUCAGCCACACUGGAACUGAGACACGGUCCAGACUCCUACGGGAGGCAGCAGUAAGGAAUAUUGCUCAAUGGGGGAAACCCUGAAGCAGCAACGCCGCGUGAAGGAUGAAAUACUUUUGUAUGUAAACUUCUGUAAGAUGGGAAAAAUAUUCUCCUCGGGAGAAUUGAUUGUACCAUCAGAGU
rnacentral:rRNA from 1 species